AAGGCACCUCCCCCAGUGGGCCUAAAAGCAGCCACCUGUAAAGACAGCGUUAAAGCCCAAGCAGAAAACACCCGACAAUAAAAAUAAACCAAUCCCAACCCCCUUUAAACACUGAGCCCCUCUAUUUGUAUAUAGAGAAGACAAUGCUAAAAUCAGUAAUAAGAGGGCCACACCCCUCUCCUCGCACGAUCGUGACUCAGACAGGAUUAACCACUGAUAACUAACGGACCCUAGAGAGGGAACAGCAAAAUAAUAAACGCGACCAAGAAAACCCUGCCUCAACCACCGUCACCCCGACACAGGAGUGCUUCCAGGAAAGACUAAAAGGGAGAGAAGGAACUCGGCAAACUAGAACCCCGCCUGUUUACCAAAAACAUCGCCUCUUGCUAACAAUGAAGUAUUAGAGGUCCCGCCUGCCCUGUGACAGCAGUGUUUAACGGCCGCGGUAUCUUAACCGCGCGAAGGUAGCGUAAUCACUUGUCUUUUAAAUGGAGACCUGUAUGAAUGGCAUAACGAGGGUUUAACUGUCUCCUCCCCCCGGUCAAUGAAAUUGAUUUGCCCGUGCAGAAGCGGGCAUAAUAUCAUAAGACGAGAAGACCCUAUGGAGCUUUAGGCAAAUGACCAAGUGCAUCCACCCCCACCCUUAGACAAUUGUGGGGGAAAAAAACACCAAUGAUCAAAAUGCCUUCGGUUGGGGCGACCAUGGAGGAAAAGAGAGCCUCCAAGUGGAACGGGAAAACCCUUUAACUAAGAGUAACUCCUCUAAGUACCAGAAAAUCUGACCAAAAGUGACCCAGGAU
rnacentral:rRNA from 1 species